UGAGUAACACGUGAGUAACCUGCCCCUGACUCUGGGAUAAGCCCGGGAAACUGGGUCUAAUACUGGAUAUGACCUUUAACCGCAUGGUUUUUGGUGGAAAGAUUUAUCGGUUGGGGAUGGACUCGCGGCCUAUCAGCUUGUUGGUGAGGUAAUGGCUCACCAAGGCGACGACGGGUAGCCGGCCUGAGAGGGUGACCGGCCACACUGGGACUGAGACACGGCCCAGACUCCUACGGGAGGCAGCAGUGGGGAAUAUUGCACAAUGGGCGAAAGCCUGAUGCAGCGACGCCGCGUGAGGGAUGACGGCCUUCGGGUUGUAAACCUCUUUCAGUAGGGAAGAAGCGAAAGUGACGGUACCUGCAGAAGAAGCGCCGGCUAACUACGUGCCAGCAGCCGCGGUAAUACGUAGGGCGCAAGCGUUAUCCGGAUUUAUUGGGCGUAAAGAGCUCGUAGGCGGUUUGUCGCGUCUGCCGUGAAAGUCCGAGGCUCAACCUCGGAUCUGCGGUGGGUACGGGCAGACUAGAGUGAUGUAGGGGAGACUGGAAUUCCUGGUGUAGCGGUGAAAUGCGCAGAUAUCAGGAGGAACACCGAUGGCGAAGGCAGGUCUCUGGGCAUCUACUGACGCUGAGGAGCGAAAGCAUGGGGAGCGAACAGGAUUAGAUACCCUGGUAGUCCAUGCCGUAAACGUUGGGCACUAGGUGUGGGGAACAUUCCACGUUUUCCGCGCCGUAGCUAACGCAUUAAGUGCCCCGCCUGGGGAGUACGGCCGCAAGGCUAAAACUC
rnacentral:rRNA from 1 species